rnacentral:rRNA from 1 species
AUUGAACGCUGGCAGAAUGCUUAACACAUCAGCAAUUGAUUGGUGGCGGACGGGUGAGUAACGCGUAAAGAACUUACCUCACAGUUAGGGAGAACAUUUGGAACCGAAUGCUAAUACCUAAUACUGUGAGAGAGCUUUGAGUCCCAUUAGCUAGUUGGAGGGGUAGCGGCUCACCAAGGCGAUGAUGGGUAGCCUGCCUGAGAGGUUGAUCGGCAACAAGGGGACUGAGACACGGCCCUUACUCCUACGGGAGGCAGCAGUUGGGAAUAUUGGACAAUGGACCAAAGUCUGAUCCAGCAAUUCUGUGUGCACGAUGAAGUUUUCGGAAUGUAAAGUGCUUUCAGUUGGGAAGCGGUACCAACAGAAGAAGUGACGGCUAAAUACGUGCCAGCAGCCGCGGUAAUAC